GGCCUAACACAUGCAAGUCGAGCGGAAACGAUGGUAGCUUGCUACCAGGCGUCGAGCGGCGGACGGGUGAGUAAUACUUAGGAAUCUACCUAGUAGUGGGGGAUAGCACGGGGAAACUCGUAUUAAUACCGCAUACGUCCUACGGGAGAAAGGGGGCAACUUGUUGCUCUCGCUAUUAGAUGAGCCUAAGUCGGAUUAGCUAGUUGGUGGGGUAAAGGCCUACCAAGGCGACGAUCUGUAGCUGGUCUGAGAGGAUGAUCAGCCACACCGGGACUGAGACACGGCCCGGACUCCUACGGGAGGCAGCAGUGGGGAAUAUUGGACAAUGGGGGAAACCCUGAUCCAGCCAUGCCGCGUGUGUGAAGAAGGCCUUUUGGUUGUAAAGCACUUUAAGCAGUGAAGAAGACCUAACGGUUAAUACCCGUUAGCGAUGACAUUAGCUGCAGAAUAAGCACCGGCUAACUCUGUGCCAGCAGCCGCGGUGAUACAGAGGGUGCAAGCGUUAAUCGGAAUUACUGGGCGUAAAGCGAGCGUAGGUGGCUUGAUAAGUCAGAUGUGAAAUCCCCGGGCUUAACCUGGGAACUGCAUCUGAAACUGUUAGGCUAGAGUAGGUGAGAGGGAAGUAGAAUUUCAGGUGUAGCGGUGAAAUGCGUAGAGAUCUGAAGGAAUACCGAUGGCGAAGGCAGCUUCCUGGCAUCAUACUGACACUGAGGCUCGAAAGCGUGGGUAGCAAACAGGAUUAGAUACCCUGGUAGUCCACGCCGUAAACGAUGUCUACUAGUCGUUGGGUCCCUUGAGGACUUAGUGACGCAGCUAACGCAAUAAGUAGACCGCCUGGGGAGUACGGCCGCAAGGUUAAAACUCAAAUGAAUUGACGGGGGCCCGCACAAGCGGUGGAGCAUGUGGUUUAAUUCGAUGCAACGCGAAGAACCUUACCUGGUCUUGACAUACACAGAAUCUUGUAGAGAUACGAGAGUGCCUUCGGGAAUUGUGAUACAGGUGCUGCAUGGCUGUCGUCAGCUCGUGUCGUGAGAUGUUGGGUUAAGUCCCGCAACGAGCGCAACCCUUGUCCUUAGUUACCAGCGGGUUAAGCCGGGAACUCUAAGGAUACUGCCAGUGACAAACUGGAGGAAGGCGGGGACGACGUCAAGUCAUCAUGGCCCUUACGACCAGGGCUACACACGUGCUACAAUGGUAGGUACAGAGGGCAGCUACACAGCGAUGUGAUGCGAAUCUCAAAAAGCCUAUCGUAGUCCAGAUUGGAGUCUGCAACUCGACUCCAUGAAGUAGGAAUCGCUAGUAAUCGCGGAUCAGAAUGCCGCGGUGCAAUACGUUC
rnacentral:rRNA from 1 species